UAGCAUCACUAGUCACCAGGCAGAGUCAGCCACGGAGGCAACAUCAUUUUUUUUCCGUGACUAUAAAUAAGUCAAAUACUGAACAUAACUAUCUGAUGCACACCUUGCUGCAAUCUUGAAGGUUUCAACUGCUCAGUCACUGAGGCCAAAUAUCAACAAACUGACAGAACUGAAGUGUUGCCAGGUGUCUGGAAAACACUAAAAACUAUCUGGCAGACGAAGAACUGUAUAAAGUUGUAUGACAGUUUUAUUAUUUCUAAGAAAUUUGAAAUAAAAAAUACAACAUAAAUAUUUUUCUUUUCUGAACACCAUCUUCAGUGACAUUAUUGGCCGCUGAGAGGAUCUGAGGACUGGCACUGGCCCUAAGUGCAUCAGGCAGAAGAGUCUGGAGCAACUGUCACCACUGCUGUUCCUAGAGAGAGACUAUCACUGUGCAGUGUCGAGCCUUCACUCACCUGAAAUUUAUAAUACUGCUUCAGUCUGUUUGAAGAGUCUGGCAAAUAGCUUCUGCUGAUGAUUAUACUUAAAAAAAUCUAAACUGCUCUCUUCUCUGAUUUUUCCAAGCAGCACAUGACCUAUCAGUGUUGUACUGAGAGGAACAUGGUUUCUGGCACAUUUUGAGGCAUAAAACAAUUUAAAAUAACAUCUCCACCUAGUGGCCAACCAAUAAAGCACAAUUGUACUAAUUUCUGGCCUGAUUUAAUUUCAAACUAGUUCUUAGAAAAAGAUGAUAUAAACUAAUGCAUAUCUAAAAUACAUGCCAAAUUAGGGGCUCCCUUUUGUACAUCUGGAUUAUCAAAACUACAUAAAGACAGUAAUGUCUACCCCUUUAAGAUAAAAAGUCCUUAUUUGAGCACAAUCUAAAGAAAGAAAUGGAAAAAAUGGGAACAGCAUUUUUUUCCCAUCAAUACGAUAACACAUUCUUAAUAACAAAGAAAUACAACAGCUAGUACUAAUACAGUAGUUUUCUUUCAUGAUACCUACCUUAUUAAAGUUUAAGGCCCAUCAGCCCCAUUUUUUCACAUAGGGAAAAUACGGUGCACAGAGAGGUUAACAGCUAGGUCCAGAAAGGUGACUUAGACUCAGCAGUGCAAUCCCUAAAAUGUAGGCAUCCUGGGGUGCAGUGGAAUCUACAGACCCAAGUUACGUGCCAAAGAACAGGAUUCACAUAAGCCAGCACGCUAAGCAGAAAGCUGCCUAAAGCAGGCAAUAGAAAAUAUUGGAAAGGGGUGUGGUCUCAAGUUUUGGCCCUUAAAGGGAACUGGGCACCUAACUGUGGACUGCAGGGAGAUAUUUCCCUCCACUCUGCAUUCACAGGCCUGAACCCACCCCUGGAGUUAGGCCAGAUCCAGCUUAGGUGUCUUUCUCACCAAAAAAAAUGAGGAAAUUCAUCCCUUCUAUGUUCUAUAGCCCAGUGGUUAGAGCACUCACUGGAUAUGUGGGAGACUUUGGUACAAAUCCCCACACACUGAUUCAAAACAGGGUUUCCUGUCUCUAAAGUGAAUCCAAACCACCAGAGUAUAGGGUACUCUGGAAUAGAUCUCUCUCACUCUCCCCUGUAGAAGCUGUUUCACUUUGUAUAAAAUACUUAAAUAUUCAUUGGAGCAGAGCCUGGAACCUGGGUUUUCCAGAUGGGCACCCUAACCACUGAGCUACAGAAUCAUUCUGGUCCACCAUAUAGUAUCUAGUAAACCAGGCUGACUGCCUUAGAAAGGAUAAUAUUUCCUAACAGAGCACAUAGGUAACCCAUGUAGCAAAUAGUAACAGAAAUGCCUCAAAUUACAGUAUACAAUAAUUUCACAUUUGUAUCUCAUCAGUAGUCACAAACCUUUCUGAUUUGUUGGGCCUGACUGAGCACAUACUGGGUGACAGUACUUUGUUUUGAUAGUGGACCAUGCAUCUCUGCUGCUGUCUGAACUAGACCAGAAGAUGAAACAGGCGCAGAUACUUGUGAGGAAGCCUGAAUUCCUGCUUGUGACUGAGCCUAAAGACAGAUGAAAUUUACACAAUGACAUUUAACAUUUUAGCUAUUUACAGUAUUGUUAUGGCAUAAUCAAUAAUCCUCAGUUGUGGUAAUUUACAAUCAUUAAAGAAGUCACAUUGUCUGAA